UACGGAGGGUGCAAACGUUGCUCGGAAUUAUUGGGCGUAAAGCGCCCGUAGGCGGCCGAAUAAGUCGGGUGUGAAAGCCCUGGGCUCAACCCAGGAAGUGCACUCGAAACUGCUCGGCUUGAGUAUGGAAGAGGGUUGCGGAAUUCCCGGUGUAGAGGUGAAAUUCGUAGAUAUCGGGAGGAACACCAGUGGCGAAGGCGGCUCACUGGCCCGGUACUGACGCUGAGGUGCGAAAGCGUGGGGAGCAAACAGG
rnacentral:rRNA from 1 species